rnacentral:rRNA from 1 species
UGAGGAAUAUUGGUCAAUGGGCGCAGGUCUGAACCAGCCAAGUCGCGUGAGGGAUGACGGUCCUACGGAUUGUAAACCUCUUUUGUCGGGGAGUAACGUGCGGGACGCGUCCCGUAUUGAGAGUACCCGAAGAAACAGCAUCGGCUAACUCCGUGCCAGCAGCCGCGGUAGUACGGAGGAUGCGAGCGUUAUCCGGAUUUAUUGGGUUUAAAGGGUGCGCAGGCGGCGCGCCAAGUCAGCGGUCAAAGUUCCGGGCUCAACCCGGUGUCGCCGUUGAAACUGGCGUGCUCGAGUGCGUGCGAGGAAGGCGGAAUGCGUUGUGCAGCGGUGAAAUGCAUAGAUAUGACGCAGAACUCCGAUUGCGAAGGCAGCUUUCCAGCGCGCUACUGACGCUGAGGCACGAAAGUGUGGGUAUCAAACA